ACAUGUAUUAUAUAUAUAUACAUUUUCUUCCCAUUGGUGUGCUUUGUAGGAAAGAUGGAGAAACUGAAAGAAAAUGUAAUUUUCUUUCCAUUCAUUGCCUGGUAGAGUUGAAAAAUGAGAGGAAAGAAAAUAAAGCUUUUGGAAAAUACCAAAUGCUGAACUGACUUGCAUCUCUUUAACAUUCUCUUCUCUUUUCAUUCCUAGUGUCUCUAGAUUCGGAUUUUUGAGCAGAUAUAUGAGUUUGGGAGAAAUUCAUGUGCAACUUAGUAGUUAAAUAUCAGGUUGAAAUGAGGUUUUGGAACUUGAUAAUUGUGCAUGAACAAAUGAAAGGCCAAGUUAUUCUAUAGAGCUUCAGGUAGGGGCAAUGUUCUCUCAUACAUAUGUUUUUGGCUACCAGAUUGUGAUGGGAUAACGGUGAGCAUAUGGUGUGAUCAUGAUAUUAUAUGCAAUAUUUUAUCUUCGCUCGAUGCCUCAUUAGUUUGAUCAUUUAUAAUGAAAAAAAUCUCCCAGUGAUGUCUCUCUAGUUUGAUCACGAUAAUAUAUGCAAUACUUUAAUAUUCUGGUUGAUGCCUUACUAAUCCUCAUAUGCCCUCUUUGCCUCACUAGUUUGAUCAUGAUAUUAUUGCAAUACUUUUAUCCCCCGGUUGAUGCCUCAGUAAUCCUCAUAUGCCAUCUUUAUGUAAAAUCUUAAGGCAAUUUCUCUGCACAACUCUCCUAUGGAUAGGAUUACCCUUUCCUUUUUUGGCUCUCUGGAGUGUUCUAUGGUAGCUCACACCCAGCUGAUCGACUUUUUUUUUUCCUUUUUGCUUUGGGCCAAAAGAAGGAACAAGGCUGUUGGUAGAAUUUUUUUAACAUUACCUUCUAUUGAAGCUGGUUGUUUGCACAUUGUUUUAAUUUUUUGGCACAUUAAUACGAUGAUUAAAACUGGAAUCCUAUGAAUUCGCAGGUCCACAAUUGUACAUUCCAAUACCAUUGCCCCCAAAGAGCAACCAAGCCUCAAGUGCUUAAAAGAAAGGCAAAAUGCAGAAGUGGCAUACAGCAAAAGUUCCAGGGAAGCCGAAGCCAUUCCACUACAUUUAUCAAGAACCUUGCAAGUGCAACAAAGAAUCCCACCGGCUAAACCAGGAAAGAUAGUAGGUCCUGUUGCACUGUAUGAGAAUGGAACAAUCAUGAAAGAUUCCUAUGAUCCAAGAACGUUCAUAAGAAGCACUGGUCUUCCCACCAGAGUCUGUCCACCCUGCAUAUUCUUAUCACAAAUCUGGCACAGUUAAUCAAGAAAGACCUGGAAGGGAGUUGCCAUCCCAAGCUAAACAAGGUUCUCAAUGUGGCAUGUCAGCCAAAUUUUCACCGGAUGUAGCUAUCGACAUCGAUUCGAACCCAUUUUUCAUGACCAGAGUGAAGAAGGUGGAGCCGGCUGACAAUAGAAUUACCAAUGAGGCAAACUUGUUGCAGGCAAAAGCUCAGUACAGUGGAAUAGGUGUUGCUGCAACUGGUGCGGCAACAGCCACCGGCUGUCGGAAGCUCGGAACUGUUCAGUACGGCAUGACAAGGAUGUAUUAGCCGGAGAUUAAGAAUGGACCCUUUGCAUAGAGGAAGGGACUCGUUUAGUGAAAUCUGUUAAAAGGAGAUCAGGCUAGCUUGGAAAUGGGGAAGUUAUAUGAUACGU